rnacentral:rRNA from 1 species
UACGGGGGGGGCAAGCGUUGUUCGGAAUUACUGGGCGUAAAGGGCUCGUAGGCGGCCAACUAAGUCAGACGUGAAAUCCCUCGGCUUAACCGGGGAACUGCGUCUGAUACUGGAUGGCUCGAGUUUGGGAGAGGGAUGCGGAAUUCCAGGUGUAGCGGUGAAAUGCGUAGAUAUCUGGAGGAACACCGGUGGCGAAGGCAGCUCGCUGGGACGUUACUGACGCUGAGACGCGAAAGCGUGGGGAGCAAACAGG